UGGUGGGUAUAUAUAUAUUUACAACUUGGGUAGAAGAUGAUGGCAAGCUAUAGUUGCAUCUGGCAUUAAACAUAAAGAGUGGCAUUUUGAAACAGAGAGAGAGAGAGAGAGAGAGAGAAGAGGAUCACAUCACAACAAACAAGCUUUCCAUUUUCCAUCAAUGGCUUCAUCAAGCAAUCAUCACUCUUUUCCAAAGUACCCAUACCCAUCAGAGUUUAAAGUGGAAGACUAUGUCCCCAUCAUUCUCUUUGUAGCCAAUUACUUUGAGUGGAAACAACUGAUGCUCGACUUCAUUCAGAGUCGAGGCAUGGUUGGUUUCAUCGAUGGCACACUUGAGGCUCCACCUGAAAAGGUCACCACAUCAGUCGCAGAUGCUGGAGGCGAGAUUGAGAUUGAGAAUGACGAUUACAAAUCCUGGAAAAGAUCAGACGAUCUUGUACGAGGAUGGAUCAUCACCACACUUGACUUAGAUAACCGACUACGCGUGAUUCAAUAUAAGACUGCUAGAGAGGUGUGGACUGCCUUGGAGAAAAUGUGUGAUCCAUCUCAAGCUUUCCACGAACAAGAAGAAGAAAGACAGAAAGUAAACCAUUACCUCCCACUGCACAUAGCUGCAAUCAAAGGUGAUUGGGAGAGCGCCAACAAAUUUAUAGAACAAGAACCAGAUGCAGUCAGGGUUCCCGUCACUGGAUUAAGACAAACAUCACUUGUCGUCGCCAUUAGGUUGGCGCGGAGAAAUGAAUUUGUGAAGAAGUUAAUAGAGAAGAUGUCACCAGAGGAUCUAGCUCUAGUCGACUCCAGAGGCAGGACAGCCCUUCAUGAAGCUUCAAUUACUGGUAAUGUUGAGGCAGCCAAACUAUUAGUGCAGAGGAACACAAUCUUGCCUAAUAUUCUGGACAAGAAGGGACGAGUACCUCUCUAUUAUGCUGCUAAUUUUGGUUUUAGAGAGAUGGUUCUGUACUUAUUGGAUGUCACUAGAUCUUUGGAUGUCAACACAGAACAUUUGGAGCCAAAGCCUUUGGGUGUCAACAAAGAAAAUCUGGAGCCAAAACCAUUUGAAGACAGAUCAGGUGUUACACUUUUGUAUCGGUUGGCAACUAGUGGACUUUAUGAUAUUGCUCUAAGCGUGCUUUCCCGCUACCCUAAGUUGGCAUAUUUGGAACCAUCUCCUCUGAUAAUGAUUUCUAAAAAGCCUUCUUCAUUUCGAAGUGGAACCCCCUUAAAUUCCUGGCAGAAUUUAAUCUAUUCAGGUGUUCCCAUAAAAUUGGAAACCAUUGCAGACCACCAUAGCCAAAGAGACAUUGAGAAUCCUACCGACUGCUUCAUUUCAAGUGUGGUUGAUGUGAAGCGAAGAUUGCAUGCUAUAUUUUGGGAUGUGGCUGAAAAUUUUGUGCCACAGAUCAAGCACAUACGAGAGAAAAAAUUGUUACACCAUCAAGCACUUGAGCUUGUCAAACGCCUUUGCAUGGAAGUUGUAAAAUCAAAUAUCCUAAGAGCGCCCCAGAUAUUUGUGAUUCCUUUACACCAAGCAAUAUCUUUUGGGAUUCGAGAAAUCGUUGAAGAGAUUUUAAAGUCAGACCCUAAUACGAUUAAUCUUCGCACCAUGGAGGACCAAACCGUAUUCCAAUAUGCAAUUAUGUGCCGAAGUGAAAGUGUGUUCAACCUUAUAUAUCAACUUGAGGACUAUAGCCAUGCUCUUUUAUCAUCACGAGAUAUGUCUUCAAACAAUGCUCUGCAUUUGGCUGGAUUUUUGGGACCUAUGCAGCAACUCAAAGUCAGUGCAGCAGGUCCAGCUCUACAAGUGCAGCGGGAAUUACAGUGGUUUAAGAUGUUGGUCAUGAUUAUGCUAUCAGUACAGAAGAGGUUGAGAAUGAUGAUUACAGUUCCUGGGAAAGAUCAGAAGUUUACUUGGGCCCAGUUCAGUUGUCAAGUAAAAAAUCGAUGCUCGACUUCACUGAUCUUCAAGGCUUAGCUGGUUUCAUCGAUGGCACGGUUGAGGCAUUGCCUGAAGGGGUCCCCGUCUCAGAUAUUGGUGAUUAUUCUGCUAGUUGUAUAGAAGAGGUUGAUAAUCAGGAUUACAGGUCCUGGAAAAGAUCAGACAAUCUCAUAUGGGGAUGGAUCCUGAUUAUGCUCACCAAAUAUAUCCUCCAACAAGUUCUGCUUUUUAGAACUGCUAAAGUGGUGUGGACAAUGUUGGAGAAAAUGUUCCACUUGGCUAAAGCUUUUUCUCAACUUGUCAACCCUUUGCGCUUUGAAGUCAAGUUGCAAUGCCGCCUGUUCGUCCACCUGGCAUUAACGAAGCCGAACAAAUCCUUUAUGCCCAAAAGACAUUGAAAAGGAUCACCGCCAGACAUGAAACUAAUGUGGCCCUUUGAAUUUUAUUUUCCUGUUUGUGUUUUGUCAACCAACCAUGUGUCGACUGUCAUCUGAUCUGUAUGUGUUUGAUGGAUGAUAGACAAAGAAACAGAGACGAGGCUAAAAUGUUAUCAAUCACUACACGAGGAUGAAAUCAAAGGUGAUUGGGAGAACGCCCUCAAAUUUAUAAAACAAGAACCAGAUGCAAUUAGGGUUCCCAUCACGGUAUGGUCAGAAACAGCACUCCAUGCUGCUGUUAGGUGGGUGCGAAGAAACCGCAAAGAAGCUAGUGGAGAAUAUGGCACCAGAGGCUCUAGUUCUAGCUGACUUCUUUGGACAGACAGCCCUUCACAUAGCUGCUGGAGCGAACAACAUUGAGGCGGCCAAACUGUUAGUGGAGAAGAACCUGAAGCUAUCUAAUGUUCAGGACUUUGACGGAUAUAUACCUCUCCAUUAUGCUGCUGCACAUGGGAAUAGGGAGAUGGUUCUUUACUUAUCGGAUGUCAUCAGAGAAGAUGCAAAGCUCAAACCGUUGAUAAAUCAGGUGCUAAACGGUUACAUUUUCUAGCACAUUGUGGACUUUAUGACAUUGCUCUAACCUUGCUUCAGUGCAACCCAAAGUUGGCAUGCAUGGAAGAACUCUCUCCUUUGAUGGUAAUUGUUGAAAAUCGUUCUUCAUUUCGAAGUGGAACCCCCUUAAACUUCUGGCAGAACUUCAUCUAUACAUAUCUUGCAAUGAAAUUGGAAAACAUUACAAAGCACCAUAGUGGAGGAGACAUUGAGAAUCCUUCCAACUGCUUUAUUUUUGGUUUGACUUUUGUUAAGCGGUAUGCAAUGUUUUGGGAAGUCGUCGUAAAAAUUCAUAAGGAUUAGUGCCAAGCAUAUCUGAGAAAAGAAAUUGGUACACCAUCAAGCACUUGAGCUUGUCCAAUUCAUUCGCAUGGAAGUUACAAAAUCAAAAUUUUCACAAGCUGCUCGGAUAUUUACACCAGCGUUACUGAAAGCAACGUCUGUUGGGAUUCAUGAAAUUGUUGAAAAAAUUUAAAGUCAUGCCUUUCUGUGGUUGGUCUUACAAACCCGAAGAAGCAAAGCUUUUUCCAAUAUGCAAUUGUGUAUCAUCAUGAAAAUGUGUUCAACCUCAUAUAUCAACUUGAGGAGUUUGGUUGGUUACUUUUAUCAGUCCUAACUCAAUGGGAAACCAUGGUCUGCAUUGGGCUGGAUGGUCGGGACCUCAACAGCGACUUAGUCUCAGAGUGAGUGCAGUUGGUGCAGCACUACAGAUGCAGCGGGAAUUGCAGUGGUUUAAGGAGGUGGAAAAAAUUCUACUGCUAGAGACAAAGAAAUGAGGAACACUAGUGGAAUGACACCUGCAGAAGUAUUUACUGAUGCACAACGGGAGUUGGUAAAGGAAGGAGAGAGGUGGAUGAAAGACACUGCCACUUCAUGCACAAUUGUAGUUGCUCUCGUUGCCUCUGUGGUGUUUGCAGCUGCCAUUUCAGUACCGGUUGGAAACAACAUUAAUGGCCAUCCAAUUUUUUUUUUUCCAAACAGAGCCUUUGUAAACUUUGGGAUAUCAGAUGUAUUUGCUCUUUUCUCAUCUGUUACUUCUGUGUUGAUGUUCUUGUCCAUCCUUACUGCUCACACUAUGCAAAGCAAGAUUUUCUCUAUGCCUUACC